CUAUACGGUGAAACUGCGAAUGGCUCAUUAAAUCAGUUAUCGUUUAUUUGAUAGUACCUUACUACUUGGAUAACCGUGGUAAUUCUAGAGCUAAUACAUGCUAAAAACCUCGACUUCGGAAGGGGUGUAUUUAUUAGAUAAAAAACCAGCGCCCUUCGGGGCUCCUUGGUGAUUCAUAAUAACUAAACGAAUCGCAUGGCCUUGCGCCGGCGAUGGUUCAUUCAAAUUUCUGCCCUAUCAACUUUCGAUGGUAGGAUAGUGGCCUACCAUGGUAUCAACGGGUAACGGGGAAUUAGGGUUCUAUUCCGGAGAGGGAGCCUGAGAAACGGCUACCACAUCCAAGGAAGGCAGCAGGCGCGCAAAUUACCCAAUCCCGACACGGGGAGGUAGUGACAAUAAAUACUGAUACAGGGCUCUUUUGGGUCUUGUAAUUGGAAUGAGUACAAUUUAAAUCCCUUAACGAGGAACAAUUGGAGGGCAAGUCUGGUGCCAGCAGCCGCGGUAAUUCCAGCUCCAAUAGCGUAUAUUAAAGUUGUUGCAGUUAAAAAGCUCGUAGUUGAACCUUGGGCCUGGCUGGCCGGUCCGCCUCACCGCGUGUACUGGUCCGGCCGGGCCUUUCCUUCUGGGGAGCCGCAUGCCCUUCACUGGGCGUGUUGGGGAACCAGGACUUUUACUUUGAAAAAAUUAGAGUGUUCAAAGCAGGCCUUUGCUCGAAUACAUUAGCAUGGAAUAAUAGAAUAGGACGUGCGGUUCUAUUUUGUUGGUUUCUAGGACCGCCGUAAUGAUUAAUAGGGAUAGUCGGGGGCAUCAGUAUUCAAUUGUCAGAGGUGAAAUUCUUGGAUUUUAUUGAAGACUAACUACUGCGAAAGCAUUUGCCAAGGAUGUUUUCAUUAAUCAGUGAACGAAAGUUAGGGGAUCGAAGACGAUCAGAUACCGUCGUAGUCUUAACCAUAAACUAUGCCGACUAGGGAUCGGGCGAUGUUAUCAUUUUGACUCGCUCGGCACCUUACGAGAAAUCAA
rnacentral:rRNA from 2 species